rnacentral:rRNA from 1 species
CCCUUAGAUGUUCUGGGCUGCACGCGCGCUACACUGAUGCGUUCAACGAGCAUAUUUUAACCUUGCCCGAUAGGGUUGGGUAAUCUUUUGAACACGCAUCGUGAUGGGGAUAGAUUAUUGUAAUUAUUAAUCUUCAACGAGGAAUUCCUAGUAAUGGUGAAUCAUCAGUUCAUCAUGAUUACGUCCCUGCCCUUUGUACACACCGCCCGUCGCUCCUACCGAUUGAAUGAUCCGAUGAAUAUCAUGGAUUGAGGAUGCAAGCAGGUUCGCCUGUCUUCAUCUUCGAGAAGUGAAGUAAAUCUUAUCAUUUAGAGGAAGGAGAAGUCGUAACA